CCUACGGGGGGCAGCAGUGAGGAAUAUUGGUCAAUGGACGAGAGUCUGAACCAGCCAAGUAGCGUGAAGGAUGACUGCCCUAUGGGUUGUAAACUUCUUUUAUAUGGGAAUAAAACGUUCCACGUGUGGGAUUUUGUAUGUACCAUAUGAAUAAGGAUCGGCUAACUUCGUGCCAGCAGCCGCGGUAAUACGGAGGAUCCGAGCGUUAUCCGGAUUUAUUGGGUUUAAAGGGAGCGUAGGUGGAUUGUUAAGUCAGUUGUGAAAGUGCGCGGCUCAACCGUAAAAUUGCAGUUGAAACUGGCAGUCUUGAGUACAGUAGAGGUGGGCGGAAUUCGUGGUGUAGCGGUGAAAUGCUUAGAUAUCACGAAGAACUCCGAUUGCGAAGGCAGUUCACUGGACUGCAACUGACACUGAGGCUCGAAAGUGUGGGUAUCAAACAGGAUUAGAUACCCUAGUAGUC
rnacentral:rRNA from 1 species